GAUCUAGCCAUGGGCAGGUUGAAGGUUGGGUAACACUAACUGGAGGACCGAACCGACUAAUGUUGAAAAAUUAGCGGAUGACUUGUGGCUGGGGGUGAAAGGCCAAUCAAACCGGGAGAUAGCUGGUUCUCCCCGAAAGCUAUUUAGGUAGCGCCUCGUGAAUUCAUCUCCGGGGGUAGAGCACUGUUUCGGCAAGGGGGUCAUCCCGACUUACCAACCCGAUGCAAACUGCGAAUACCGGAGAAUGUUAUCACGGGAGACACACGGCGGGUGCUAACGUCCGUCGUGAAGAGGGAAACAACCCAGACCGCCAGCUAAGGUCCCAAAGUCAUGGUUAAGUGGGAAACGAUGUGGGAAGGCCCAGACAGCCAGGAUGUUGGCUUAGAAGCAGCCAUCAUUUAAAGAAAGCGUAAUAGCUCACUGGUCGAGUCGGCCUGCGCGGAAGAUGUAACGGGGCUAAACCAUGCACCGAAGCUGCGGCAGCGACACUAUGUGUUGUUGGGUAGGGGAGCGUUCUGUAAGCCUGUGAAGGUGGCCUGUGAGGGUUGCUGGAGGUAUCAGAAGUGCGAAUGCUGACAUAAGUAACGAUAAAGCGGGUGAAAAGCCCGCUCGCCGGAAGACCAAGGGUUCCUGUCCAACGUUAAUCGGGGCAGGGUGAGUCGACCCCUAAGGCGAGGCCGAAAGGCGUAGUCGAUGGGAAACAGGUUAAUAUUCCUGUACUUGGUGUUACUGCGAAGGGGGGACGGAGAAGGCUAUGUUGGCCGGGCGACGGUUGUCCCGGUUUAAGCGUGUAGGCUGGUUUUCCAGGCAAAUCCGGAAAACCAAGGCUGAGGCGUGAUGACGAGGCACUACGGUGCUGAAGCGACAAAUGCCCUGCUUCCAGGAAAAGCCUCUAAGCAUCAGGUAACAUCAAAUCGUACCCCAAACCGACACAGGUGGUCAGGUAGAGAAUACCAAGGCGCUUGAGAGAACUCGGGUGAAGGAACUAGGCAAAAUGGUGCCGUAACUUCGGGAGAAGGCACGCUGAUAUGUAGG
rnacentral:rRNA from 1 species